UAACAGCUUUCAGAGGCCCGUCACUGUGGUGAUUGAGGUGGACAGAAGGCAUGGACAUGACCAAGGCCCUUAAAAGACACAAACAGGUGGAGAGUGUGCUGGGGGUGGGCAGAGGGCUGGGGACUACAAAAGCAGGAGGCUCGCUUGGAGAGCAGGGACAAGAGAAGGCAGAGGGUGAGGCUGGCAAGGAGCAGGAAGAGGGGAGGGGACAUGGGACGCAAAGUUGCAGCCGAACAGGACACAAGAGGAGGUUAAGUAACAAUCAAAAACAGACCUAAGAGAAAGACAGGCAGCUGAGAGGAGGGAGCACAGGCGAGAGAUGACAGACCAUUGGGGCCAGGGGCAUACAUACAGGAAGACAAAGAUGGUUCCUCUGUGUGUGACUAGAAGGCCAGCGAUUCAAAGGAGAAGAGUAAAAGGAAAGAAAACAGGGUAUAAGUGAGGAGACAAAACAAGUAAUAAGUGCACAGAUACUAGUUAAAUGCUUUCAAAAUCACCAGGCUGUUAGGCUGAGUUGGAGGAAGCCUCACAGCCAUACCCAGGAGGGGACCCUCAGUAAGACAGAGGCAGGCAAUUUAAGUAGCUAGCUACUGAGGUAAAAAUGAAAAAAAAAAAAAAAAUAGAAAAUGGAAAAGGUGAGAAGCAGGAGAAGGAAAACCCAAAGGAGACACUGGCCCAGAAACCUUUUUAACUUUCUGUAAGAAUCUUCAAGGCCCCAAACUAGGCCAAGAUUCUGACUGACAUUUCUGAGCUCACCAGCUGCUGUUUCCUUGAGAGAAUUCUGACAGGAAGGCAUAGAAAUGCAAGCCAACACUGCCAGCUCUGAAAAAAAAAAAAACACACAAAUAAUAACAACCCAUGCUCUAAACACCUCAAUGGGGCCGAAGCCUGCCAGGGAAGAAGGCGCACCGCGGAGGGACCCGCCUGCAACUUUCCCCCAGGUUUGGAAAAGCGAUGUGUGGCUAUACCAAGGAAUCCUCACCUUAGAGGCUACAGUCACCUCCCAAGGGAGCUGCCCCCUGCUCUGGCUGGUCAAACGGAACCAAGUCCGUCUUCCUGAGAGGUUUGGUCCCCUUCAACCAGCUACAGCAGGGCUGGCAAUGCCCAGUCCUUGGAGAAACAGAAGAGAUUCACCGGAAGCUGAAAUUACCUACUAAUGCUUCCCUUAAGAAAAUGACUCUGAUUUUGUCAUAUACUCUCAGGCUCCCAGCAAGGGAGAAGAGAGGAGCCCUGGGUUCCAAAAGUGGACAAGAUUUUCAGGCUCAACACAUGGAGCUCUGUGCCCUUGCAACCACAAUUAGACCUACUCACAGGCUCUUGAUACACACAUCAUCAGUAAAGAUUUUGAGGAUCGAAUUUGUACCAGCCAGGGGAAGAGCAUGGGACCUAGAAGACAGGGCUCCUGCUCACAUGGGGCUAACAGUCUGAGUAAAGAAAUCAGACAUAUGAAUAUGGCACAAUUUAAUGAAAUUGCAGGUCAAAGCAUGCCUAGUGCUAAGACACAAUUCUUCUUACAUAGACCGUCAAAUAUGCCUGGCAUAUGGCAGGCAUCAAAUCCCCAACCAUCCAUUCAGCCCAAGAUACCUGUUUACUAAGCAAUAUACACAUGACUCAAUUUCCUGAUCUGUAGAAUGGGGAUAAUAAUCAUAACACCCACCACAUAUGGUUUUAUGUGCAAUGAAAUGAGAAUACAUGUAAAGGAGUUAGAAAGCUCUCAAUAAUUAUUACUUGUUAUUAAUAGAAUAACCUGACCUGUCUUUCCAAUUUCUCUUCCAAAAUGUAUAUCUCUGACAUUGCACCUAGGAGGGUGCCCAGAACUUAGCUAGAGCUCAGUAACAUUUGUUAUUUGAAUUCCAGAAACAUGUGUGACUCACAUGCUGCACUCUGACACAGGGCGGGCUCAUAAUGCCCAGAGCCCACCAAGUCUCCGCACGGGAGAUGUGGUGCUUUUCUGCAUGCGUCUUGGAACCUGGGAGCCCUGGGUUUGGAUCCUGCCCCUCUCAUUUAUUUGCCCUGCUACAGCCUCUCUGAACUUCAGUUAACAUUGCAUGAACCUUAGUUUCCUCAUCUGCAAAAUGGGGACAAUGAUACUUAACUUCAAAUUGCUUUAAGGAUUUAAAAUGGUAAUGUUGGGACGCCUGGGUGGCUCAGUCGGUUAAGUGUCCCACUUCGGCUCAGGUCAUGAUCUCACAUGUCAGUGUCUGUGCUGACAGCUCAGGGCCUGGAGCCUGCUUUGGAUUCUGUGUCUCCCUCUCUCUCUGCCCCUCCCCCACUCGUCCUCUCCCUCUCUCUCUCUCUCUCAAAAAUAAACACUUAAAAAAUUUUUUUAAAUAAAAUAAAAGGGUAAUGUUGAUGAAGAGCCAAAUCUAAGCCCUCAAGAAAUGGCAUCUGUUGUUGUUUUACUAUCGUAUGUGGCGACAGCUCGAGGACAGUAUCGUGUCCGCAGGCCUGACAAGGGGGAGAUGAGAUUUUAGAAAAUAAAAAAGAAUUCAGGAAAUAAAAAAAAAAAAACCUCACUAUAGGAUCUUUUUCUUUUCCAACUAUUAAUUCUACUAUCAUGUAACAUGCAUCCAUCCUUACAUGAGUUACGAGUUACUAGUAUGUAGUACGUUUUACUUAAACAAAAAAAAGGUUCCUUCAUGAGACUGAUAGUAUCAUCCUAAAGAAAUAUCCUGCCUGGAAAGCCUUCCUUUGUGGACGGCACUGAGAUGCUAGUCUGUAACCACCUACCCUCCUGAGUUCAUGGAGGCCACAGAGUGUGUAUUUCAAAGGUGUGGAGUUUAGACCUAAGUGCAGGAGCCAGAGUGCCCAGGCUCAAAUCCCAGCAUUCCUACCCCCCACCAGCUGUGCCACUUUGGGAAAAUUACUUGACUUCUCUGGCUCUCCAUUGCUUCAUAUGUAGAAUGGAGAUAUUAAAAAUAGCAUCUACCUCAUAGGGUUUUUGUGAGAAUGAAAUAAAAAGACAAGUAAGCGUAUAAAACUAGUGCUGGGUGCAUAAUAAGCUUUUAAGGGUUUUUAUCUUUGACAAUGUACCUGAAAUGUUCCUGACACUAAAUUGGUGUUCAAUAAACACUUAUUUAAUAAA